CGUGGAUAGGCAUGCAAGUCGAACGGUAGGAUAUCCUUCGGGAUAUUGAGAGUGGCGAACGGGUGAGUAACACGUAGAUGAUCUACCCUCAAAUGGGGGACGAACCCAGGGAAACUUGGGCUAAUACCGCAUGAGUGCAGCGCAUAAAGCAUCUUUAGGUGGGUGUUUUAUGCGUUGCAUAAAAGGUGGCCUUCGGGCUGUCGUUUGAGGAUGAGUCUGCGUCCUAUUAGUUAGUUGGUGAGGUAAUGGCUCACCAAGGCGAUGAUAGGUAGGCGGCCUUAACGGGUGGCCGCCCACACUGGGAUUGAGAUACGGCCCAGACUCCUACGGGAGGCAGCAGUCGAGAAUGGUCUACAAUGGACGAAAGUCUGAUAGUGCGACGCCGCGUGAACGAAGAAUCCCUUCGGGGUGGUUAAAAAGUUCUUUUAUAUGUGAGCAAUGCUUUUUAUGUGAAUAGCAUGAGAAGAGAGAUAUUAGCAUAUGAAUAAGCAACGGCUAACUCCGUGCCAGCCGCGGC
rnacentral:rRNA from 1 species